GGAGGAGAGGGGGGGAGAGUUUGUCAACAUCCCAAAUUUGAUACCCCCACCCCAGCUCAUAAGCAUUGAGAUCUGUGUAAACCCAAUUGCUACAUUUUCAAAAGGAUAUGUGCUCAGUAGUAGGGAGGAUGGAUGAAUAAAUAUGGUCCUCAGGAAGAUAGAUAACUCCUCAAAUGUGAAGUUUUCCGCUGGCUCUGGGCACUGCUCUCUGUCGGAUGCAUUGCAUCCAUUUGCACACAGAGCUGGGGUCUGCCUGGUCUGCAUGAAGUUCUGAGCAUUACCAUUUGUUGUCUUAAUUGCAUGAAUUGGGUGUAAGAAAAGAUAUCAAAGUAUACAAAAUACUAAUGAUGGACUAUUUUGAAAGGAGGGUCAAACUGCUAAAGGAGAAUAUAUAUGUAUAUAUUUGGAGUUAGCCCUGAAUGCAUGCCGGUACAUUAAAUAACAAGAGGCCUGCACUGACCGACUAUUUGGUGGAAUGACAGUUCCCAUAUCCGGCUUUAAACUGGGCAAGAAAUAAAUGAACGCAAAUCAGGGCUAAUUAAGUUCGGGACAUUUAAUAUAGAGGAACAGAAGCAGACAAGGAAUGAGUUCCAAGAAGCUUAUUAGUUGGUUAAUCUGCUUAAUGCCUGUGGUUUUUGGAUGUGUGUAUCAUCUUGACUAGCGCGUUAUAAAAGCACUUCUUGUACAGGAAAGGAAUUGAUGUUGGUACCACUAAUUAAGAUUUCAGAUGUUUCAUUUUUAGAUUCCAUUGUGUGCGGUUGCGUUUCGCAUUAAUUCCUUGCAUCAUUCCAUUGUCAAUUCUCACAAAACAAAACUUUGGGUUUCAAUUCCAGGUUGAUCCAUUCAAAUUAAGCAUCCUGCCAUAAAACUGUGAAGGAUUGACUGAAACUCUGAAAGGUCAACACCGAGGUUGUGAUUAUCCUAACCAGAUUCCCCGCACAUAGUACAUUACUUUUAUAUCUAAUUGUCACUUUUUGCUAUGAGUAAAUAAAUGAAUUUUUAUCCAUGUUCUGUAAAGAACGUGACAUUAUAUUACUUGGAGACAAAAAUUAAAACUAAAAGUAGGGUAAUUAAAAGAUCAAUUGUGAUCUAAAUUAAGAAUAUCCAUCAAACUUGUCUGGUCCAGUGAGCACUACAUGUUGUGCUCUAAUACAUUUCUCUGGGAGAAGUUUUAGGUUUUUAUGCAUCAAUGGGCAUUUUUAUCUACUCAUUUUGCAGAGUGAACUGCUUCAAAUUCAGAUUCAUAUUGAAUUUAUAAUCGUAUUUUAUACACAACUUAUGACACAAUUCCACAUUUUUAUAUUCCAUUCUUGUGCACAAUCUUGUAGCGGCAUCCUUUGUGAGCCCUCAUUCACAUGAUCAUAAUCUGUUCAAAUUUUGCAAGGACCUGUGCAGCCUUUUUCUAACAGUUGUAUAAAUUGGGGAGACAAAAAAAAAAAAAAAAAAAAAAAAAAAUCCCUCAUCAAAAUUGACCCUUUUUUCAUCUGCUUUAAUUAUGACCUUAAAAUUUUUGAUGUCAACUUGUUGAUACACCUUUCAUGUGAGAUCAAAGUAUAGCUUCUAUUAUGAAAUUUCAAAUGGGGGAAGUGAAAGUCUUCUUGUAGUUUAGAUUUGUGUCUUUUCAUGUAAGAACAUUGCCAGAUUAUUUCACUAUAACUUUCAUUCAAUUUGAUUAUGAAGUGUGCUGUGCAUGAACCAGAGCUCACUUUCAGACCAUUCUUAUCAUAUUAAAUUCAAAGCUUAACUGAGCAAUUAUACCAAAACAUGUCACUACUAUUUCAUAAUGUAAAACAGAACCAGGGUUAAAAACUUGUUGCUAGGUCCUUGCAUCUAUGUUCUAAAACUUUUAUUUGUCAUGUCUUUCAUCACUUUACAUAAAUUAUCUUAAGGUACCCUAAGUUCUAACUUUACCACCUCUUCAUUCAAUUGUUAUCUUUUUUGUCUAUUUUUUAAUUUAUAUAUAGACAUACUCUUAUCUUCAGUGGCAAUGGGGGUCUGUUUUGGAGCCGUGUGUGGUGCCUUAUGUGUACCUUCAAGAGUUUUUUUUUUUGGUAGAUUCAGGGGUUGUUAAUUUUUCCCACCUGCAGUUGUUAAAAAUCCUUCCCACUGAGGCAUUUUAGAAAGAGGACAUUGGUAUUAGGCUUUGUGGGCAUGGUUCCCUUGUUUGAAUGGUUCUGAGGCUGUGAGACUGGGUCUUAACCACUUCCACAAACCAGGUUUUAGGGUUUCUUCUUUUAAAAAACCCAAAUGAAGGGGUGGACAUUAGCCAUGUGUAAAAUUUGGGAACUCACAGAUUUGGCACUCAUUUAUUGUUCCAUUUUGUUCCCCUGUGGAUUUUCAGGACCCAUGCAGUUGCAGCUUUGGACCCCUCUCAGUGCUGUAAGUUGUGAGAAGGUCUUUGGGAAUUUGUUCUGAUUACAUGAUAAUAUUUUCAGUCAAAAUAAUUAAAAGAAAAUUCUUCUACAUAUUAUUAAUUAAGAGGAUGCAGAUCAAAUCAUUCCAACUGUAGAAAUUCUGAUUAUUGUAAUUUUCCCCUCAUAUUACAAAAUUGGUUCUCAAUUUGCCAGGAAUUGAAGGGAUGCUGUGGGGAGUCUGAAUGUUUGCAGUGCUCUUUUUAAUUAAAACACUCUGUGAGGUGUAGUAACUAAUAGAAUGUUUCCAAGGUAGACAAUUUACUUUUAUUACUCUAAAUAAUAUAUUUGUUGUGAAACAGUAUGCUGAAGAUAAACAAACAAACAAACAAACAAACAAAUAAAUAAAUAACAGUUUGUGUCAGUUAAGAUGUUGAUAGAGUUAAAAUUAACUUCACAAGAAACAAAUUCGUGCAAAGAAUGUAGACCUGUAAACCAUCCAUAGAUCCCAGAGUCCCCAGUUCAAAUGGGAAUUGAUCCUACUCCAACAACAGAAUUCAAGGGGAGCCAUUAUGAGCCUCGGUUUAGGUGCCAUAACAAAUAGAUCAGAGAAAGAUGUGCUAAUGGUGGCAAGGCACUACUUUCAAUGCUAAACACAUAUAUUUUGAUGUGUGUCUAGGCUUGAAAUCCAAAAAAGAUGAAGAUGAAGGUUUGAGUUGUAUCACCAUUGACAAUCCCAAUGCAAUCCACUCCUUAAAAUGGAUCAUGAUUAAGGGUUUUCUCUAUUGGAGUAUUAAGUCUCCUUUAAACAAAUCAUUUGAAUAGGAGCCAUUGGCUCAUGAUCAAUGGCAGGAGUCCAUAUGGAUGCAUUUUUACCCUUAAUUGUGUGUGUGUGUAUGUAUGUAUAUAUAU
rnacentral:lncRNA from 1 species